rnacentral:rRNA from 1 species
UACGGAGGGGGCCAGCGUUGCUCGGAAUUACUGGGCGUAAAGGGUUCGUAGGCGGUGUGGCAAGUCGGGAGUGAAAUCUCUGGGCUCAACCCAGAGUCUGCUUCCGAAACUGCUGUGCUUGAGUGUGGGAGAGGCGCGUGGAAUUGCAGGUGUAGCGGUGAAAUGCGUAGAUAUCUGCAGGAACACCCGUGGCGAAAGCGGCGCGCUGGACCACUACUGACGCUGAGGAACGAAAGCUAGGGGAGCAAACAGG